rnacentral:rRNA from 1 species
CAGCCGCCACGGUAAGACAGAGGAUGCAAGCGUUAUCCGGAAUGAUUGGGCGUAAAGCGUCUGUAAGCGGCUUUUCAAGUCCGCCGUCAAAUCCCAGGGCUCAACCCUGGGCAGGCGGUGGAAACUACCAAGCUAGAGUGCGGCAGAGGGGGAUGGAAUUCCGCGUGUAGCAGUGAAAUGCGUAGAUAUGCGGAGGAACACCGAUGGCGAAGGCAAUCCCCUGGGCCUGCACUGACGCUGAGGAGCGAAAGCGUGGGGAGCGAACAGGAUUAGAUACCCCAGUAGUCCUUGUCUCUUAUAC